GGAUGCGAGGGCGAUCUGGCUGCAACAUCUGCCACCCCAACGAUCACCAGAGUUGAUUUGGCUGAUCUGGCUGGUUAGGCGGGUAUACACCUCCUUCCUCAUCAAUCCAUGUGCCCAGUACCAUUGUCUACUAUUGUAGCUUUAGAGUAAGUCUUGAAAUCAGGAAGUGUGGAUCUUCUAACUUUGUUCUUCCUGAAGAUUGUUUUGGAUAUUCUGGGUCCCCUGCAUUUCCAUAUGAAUUUUAGGAUCAGUUUGUCAAUUUCUUUU
rnacentral:snRNA from 1 species